UCGACAUGGCAAAAAGGAGGCAUAUUUGUGCAAUGAACCAACCCUUCGAGCAUAUUCUGCUGAAGCAAAUUAAAAGCUGAAAGCUACAUCUAGCUUCCAUUCAAUGAUAUACAUCAUCAAUUAGCUUGGAAGAAGAUAACUAUCAAGAGGUUGAUUGAAGUCGCUAACUUGCAGGGAAGUGAUGAUAGAACUUAUUCUUCUAAGCUUCUUGAGGACAAGACCUCUACAAGAUAUGAAUGGGGUUCUCCAUGGUCUGAUGAGCCUACCAAGGGGGAGCUUGAGUACUGCAGUCCAACAUGUUAUUAUGCCAAAACACCACCACCUCUACAUGUAUUCUAUUCUUCCCUUUUAUUUUUGGUGCUUUGCUCACAAACUUUGCUUCACAAAAAUCUAGAAUGUUGGAAAAGGUUGACAUGGAAGAAUUAGCAAGUGAGAAAGAGGAGUCCAAUGAAAUUCUACAAGUUGAAGAUUGU